CACUGGUGCGUCAGAGUGAAACCUUGCAUUGGUGCGUGUAUCGUUUUAAGAAAAAAAUCAUGUGACCAAUACAGGAAGUGUGUCGUUUGGAUGUGCUGCGCCAAAUUGUGUUUAUAAAGAAACAAACUAUGUCGACAUGUGGCGGAUUUGUUGGAUGGAGUUUUGCUGUUGCAUUUUGGAUUUUUGCCUGCCCUCUCCUUGUUCCACUGACUUCAUGGAUUGUUCCAAGAAGUUUUGCCCAGUCUGGAAUAAUUUUGAUCUUUUGAUGCCAAAUAAGAGCUAUCUUACAUCAAUAAGAGCACUUCAUUAAUGCUGAGGAAUUAUAGAGCUCGCCAUGGCAAAUGAAGAAUUGGCAGAUACUCGUGAGUAUCCCAGUUCCUAACAAGCAAGAAGUGGAUGAGGCUGUGGUCAACAUGAUCAUCAAAGCCAUUCACCAUUGUUGAAAAUCAGCUCACACUUAAAUUUUUUUGCUCACCAUCUUCAUCUGUACCCAGUGAGAGUUUUUUCUCAAAGGCAGGGGAACUGGUGUCUAAGAGGAGAAAUCGCCUUGGAGCAAAGACACUUUAAAAACUUUUAUUCCUCAAUAAAAAUGCAUAAAUGAAUACAUUUUUAGUUUAUUUCGUAUGAUUG